UAGAGGAGGUUGGGAGAUUUUCCCUUGCAGAACUCGUAUCUGGCAAAGCCAUGGAACAGGAACAUCUCCAGUGGGAGAGGGGCAUUCCCUCCGAGGAGCAUGCUCCUGUCCUGUGGGAGACCCUGGUGAGCCCUCCUGCCUUACUCCUUUUCAAUGCAAGGUCUCAGAUAAAACCUCAGACUCUGGUCAGGUGGUCAGUUACUGUAUCCCAGCUGUGGAACUGUAACUGUAAAUCAAGCGGCAGCAGGUUUCUGAGCAACUCCUGCUCAGGUCAACACUCGCUUGACUAACCAUUCGAAAUAACUUACACAGAAAUAGCCGCAGUGCAGGACAGACACGUAUUUAUGUAGUUAGGGUCAUGAAAAUCUGUUGGUAGGGCAGUAUGUGGGAAUAGUAUAGGAAGAGUGGGGUGCUUGCUUCUCAGAAAGCAAGAGGAAGUUAUGAAUGUAUUUGUGUUCUUGACAAGUGUCUGAUUGGGAUGGUACCGAGGAAAACAUCACCAGCAGGUGAUGGCACUGCCCUCUGCCUCAUGCCUCCUAGCCUUGCCUGCAUGCCUCUGUCUUUUCCAAGCACUUCUGGGGUAGAUUCUUGGCAUGUUCCUUGUAUUCCUUCCUCCCUGCAGUGAUGAAGUGCCUGUAGACCUGAGAGUGUGGUAAAGUGAUCAGAAUGGGGGUUUUAUUUCUAAAUCUUCAAAACAACAAUCCGGUGUUCUGACUGAAUAUCAGAAAGGUGCUGUUUUAAGCUCCACAUGACACAGCUGACUUUUUCAGAAUAGGGCUAUUUUCAUUUACCCUUAAAACUGUAUCCUAUAAAGAACAGUUAGGUUUUCUGUGGUGGCAUUUUACCUGUAGGAUUUGUUUAUGAAUCCCUUACUACCCUUUCUCAUGACCUAAGAUGUAUUUUGGGGUUUGUCAUAACAUACAUUUUUCUCUAUGUAAGUUUUGUCCAGCAACUUCUGUUAUCUUAGACAUUAAUUUAACAGUGGUUUGGGUGUUGGUGGGUAUUUUGGGUUUGGUUUUUGUGUUUUGUUUUUUUUUUCUUACCAGUUCUAGUGCCUUCCAUUUACUCCAAGGUUUAAUGAAUUUCUCUCACGUUCCUGUGGAAUAUUGUUGGAACACUUGUGAAGAGAGCUAAAAAAAAGCAAAGUGGGCAAUAUCGAGUAGAGCAAAGCUCACCAGAAUUUACUAGCUGUGUCAGAAAAGUCUCAUUGAAAUGGCAGCCACCCAAAUGUAGACUAUACGUUUUCAGAAGUACUUGAAUAUUUUGUGGUAACAUGAUGAAAAAUUAACUGGCACAGGAAAAAUAAUAAUCCUUAAAAGUGUGUAAAGAAUCCAGACUGGAGCAUACAUUAGAUGAAGCACAGGGAAAUGAGAAACGGCAGCCUAUCAAAGGGCAUUCCUCUGGAGACCAGGAGAUGAUUCUGCAAAUCUGUGGCCUGCAUGGCAAAAAAAAGAAGAGUUGGCAGCUCUGUCCUGUGCUCUCCUGCUGUCAGGAGCUACUUUUCCAAAAGCUGUUUGCUCAAAAUCCUGACUUGUGACUUUGUUACCUACCUUUCUGUGCUGAUUCUUGGGCUAUGUGAUUAUACUCUAUACAGAUGUAUUCUUAACAGCUUUUGUGUGCUG